rnacentral:rRNA from 1 species
GAUGAACGCUGGCGGCGUGCCUAAUACAUGCAAGUCGAGCGAACAGACGAGGAGCUUGCUCCUCUGACGUUAGCGGCGGACGGGUGAGUAACACGUGGAUAACCUACCUAUAAGACUGGGAUAACUUCGGGAAACCGGAGCUAAUACCGGAUAAUAUAUUGAACAGCAUGGUUCAAUAGUGAAAGACGGUUUUGCUGUCACUUAUAGAUGGAUCCGCGCUGCAUUAGCUAGUUGGUAAGGUAACGGCUUACCAAGGCGACGAUGCGUAGCCGACCUGAGAGGGUGAUCGGCCACACUGGAACUGAGACACGGUCCAGACUCCUACGGGAGGCAGCAGUAGGGAAUCUUCCGCAAAGGGCGAAAGCCUGACGGAGCAACGUCGCGUGAGUGAUGAAGGUCUGCGGAUCGUAAAACUCUGUUAUUAGGGAAGAACAAAUGUGUAAGUAACUAUGCACGUCUUGACGGUACCUAAUCAGAAAGCCACGGCUAACUACGUG